rnacentral:rRNA from 1 species
AACGAACGCUGGCGGCAUGCCUAACACAUGCAAGUCGAACGAGACCUUCGGGUCUAGUGGCGCACGGGUGCGUAACGCGUGGGAACCUGCCCUUAGGUUCGGAAUAACUCCCCGAAAGGGGUGCUAAUACCGGAUAAUGUCUUCGGACCAAAGAUUUAUCGCCUUUGGUUGGGCCCGCGUUGGAUUAGCUAGUUGGUAGGGUAAAAGCCUACCAAGGCGACGAUCCACAGCUGGUCUGAGAGGAUGAUCAGCCACACUGGGACUGAGACACGGCCCAGACUCCUACGGGAGGCAGCAGUGGGGAAUAUUGGAAAGUGGGCGAAGGCCUGAUCCAGCAAUGCCGCGUGAGUGAUGAAGGCCUUAGGGUUGUAAUGCUCUUUUACCCGGGAUGAUAAUGACAGUACCGGGAGAAUAAGCUCCGGCUAACUCCGUG